ACCCAAUUGAAGAGUCCCAAAUAGGACGAAACGCGCAUCCUGGAU
rfam:Schistosoma mattheei strain Denwood, Zambia genome assembly, scaffold: SMTD_scaffold0009620